UACGUAGGAGACGAGCGUUGUCCGGAGUUACUGGGCGUAAAGGGUGCGCAGGUGGCGGCGCGCGUGGGGGGUGAAAUCGCCCGGCUUAACUGGGCGGGGGCCUUCCAGACGGCGUGGCUUGAGCAGCGGAGGGGGACGUGGAAUUCCGGGUGGAGCGGUGAAAUGCGCAGAUAUCAGGAGGAACACCGGUGGCGAAGGCGGGUCUCUGGGCCGAUAUUGACGCUGAGGAGCGAAAGCGUGGGGAGCAAACAGG
rnacentral:rRNA from 1 species